rnacentral:rRNA from 1 species
GAUGAACGCUAGCGGCAGGCCUAAUACAUGCAAGUCGAACGAUAGAAGAGGGCUUGCUCUCUUCGAAAGUGGCGCACGGGUGCGUAACGCGUAUGCAACCUACCUUAAUCAGGGGGAUAGCCCGAAGAAAUUCGGAUUAACACCGCAUAAAAUCACAGUACAGCAUUGUACAAUGAUCAAAUAUUUAUAGGAUUAAGAUGGGCAUGCGUGACAUUAGCUAGUUGGCGGGGUAACGGCCCACCAAGGCGACGAUGUUUAGGGGAUCUGAGAGGAUGACCCCCCACACUGGUACUGAGACACGGACCAGACCCCUACGGGAGGCAGCAGUAAGGAAUAUUGGUCAAUGGAGGCAACUCUGAACCAGCCAUGCCGCGUGCAGGAAGACAGCCCUCUGGGUCGUAAACUGCUUUUAUUCGGGAAUAAACCUACUUACGUGUAAGUAGCUGAAUGUACCGAAGGAAUAAGGAUCGGCUAACUCCGUGCCAGCCGCCGCGGUAA